CCUGGUAGCGGGGGAUAACUAUUGGAAACGAUAGCUAAUACCGCAUAAUAUUGAUUAUUGCAUGAUAAUUGAUUGAAAGAUGCAACUGCAUCACUACCAGAUGGACCUGCGUUGUAUUAGCUAGUAGGUGAGGUAACGGCUCACCUAGGCGACGAUACAUAGCCGACCUGAGAGGGUGAUCGGCCACACUGGGACUGAGACACGGCCCAG
rnacentral:rRNA from 1 species